AUCUUUGCACUUGGGGCAAUGACGCAGCUAGUGAGGUAUACCCGAGGCGUGUCAAUUGCUGGUUGAAAACUAUUUCCAAACUA
rnacentral:snRNA from 1 species